rnacentral:rRNA from 1 species
GACGAACGCUGGCGGCGUGCCUAAUACAUGCAAGUCGAGCGCAGGAAGCUGACGGAACUCUUCGGAGAGAAGGCCGUGGAAUGAGCGGCGGACGGGUGAGUAACACGUAAGGAACCUGCCUCAAGGAUUGGGAUAACUCCGAGAAAUCGGAGCUAAUACCGGAUAGUUCAACGGACCGCAUGGUCCGCUGAUGAAAGGCGCUUCGGCGUCACCUUGAGAUGGCCUUGCGGUGCAUUAGCUAGUUGGUGGGGUAACGGCCCACCAAGGCGACGAUGCAGAGCCGACCUGAGAGGGUGAUCGGCCACACUGGGACUGCGACACGGCCCAGACUCCUACGGGAGGCAGCAGUAGGGAAUCUUCCACAAUGGACGAAAGUCUGAUGGAGCAACGCCGCGUGAGUGAUGAAGGUUUUCGGAUCGUAAAACUCUGUUGUAAGGGAAGAACACGUACGAGAGAGAAUGCUCGUACCUUGACGGUUCCUUACGAGAAAGCCACGGCUAACUACGUGCCAGCCGCCGCCGUAA